UUAUCCUCCGCACUGCGGAGGGCCUCAUCCAGUCAGUCAAAGGCCCUCAGAGCAAAGACUGUGGUUCCCCAAGUAGAAUGAAUUCCUCUCAGGACUGUGACACAGAAAGCCCACCUGAGCUUCUAGCCUGAAGAAUUCAGACUGACAAAUGCAACUUCCUCAUCUACUGAACCUCCAGCCUCCCUGCUGCCCUGCAAAUAUCAUACUUGCCAGCCCCCACAAUCAGGGAAACCGAGGCACGAGAAGCUAACUUUCCGAGGCUGCCCAGCUGGUAAGCAGCAGAGCCAAGCUUCCCGCUUGGCCAGCGAGCUCCAGAGUCCCUGUCCUCAAAUCAGAAGCUGCAUGGCACAGUGACGCCAAGAAAACAACCUGGAGGGCCCAGGCUGGCAGAAGUCGGGGGGGGGGGCAAGGACAAGGAGGAAGCCAAAAGCUAAGAACAAAGUCAGACGGACACCGAGGCAGAAGCCGGGAAAGCAGAGCAUGGUCACCAAUUGUUGGGGACAUGCUCUGAGUGAGAGGGUUUGAGAACUGCCACUCGCGGGCCGGGGACUGCUCGCUCUAAAGGUGUCUCAGGCUGAAAUCCAGCUAGACCUCUGCUCCAAGUCAGGGGCUGCGGCACAAAACACGGAUCUUUGCUCUUUCUGUCCACAGCAGCCCUCAGCCCACCCCAAGACAGCAGCAGAGAAGCGACCCAGGUAGGGGCUGCGGUCAGUGGGUGGAGCCUCUGGUUUCCUAGGGAAGUCAGACCUGCUGGUUGCCAUUUUCUCCAUAAAUUUCUCCCAUGAAAGUCAAAUAUCUGCAUUAACUAAAUUUUUGAUAUUUUAUGGAUUGGUUCCACAAAAAAAGCACUUAAACAGCCCUUUCUGCUGACUUCCAAAUUCCUAUCUCACCUCCCUCUCAUCUUCAAUUAAAGUUUAUCAUCCUCUGUGUAAA